rnacentral:lncRNA from 1 species
GGACCCGCGAGCCCCGCCCCUGGCCCACGAGUUCCGCCCCAGGCGCGGCUGAGGCCCGAGGAGCCACCGGCGAGCGUGAUGCGCAGCUGAGGGCUGGGAGCUUUCGGCGUCGGCGGGCUUGUCCGCAUCCCCAGUAUCCCGCGGGUCGAAGGCCGGCGUCAGCGUCUUUACAGCCUCUAAAGGAUGAGGUCUGGGUGAGCCGUGGCCGCGUGCAGGGUCCCUGGGGCCGUGGGAGGAAGGUGAGGCACGGCCUGAGUCGGCGGCCUGCUUCUGAGCUCCCUGCCGCGCCCCAGGCCGGGCGGGUCCAGCUCCCCGCGGUCCAGGCGCUGCACCAGGGCCCUGGCGUCGCUGUGUGCUGUUCUUGGGCGCAGAGGGGCCGCCCCACGGUGGAGGUGGGGUCGCUGCAGCCCCCAAAGGUAGAUCAGCUUUUCUUCCCCGUGUCCCGUGGCCCUGACCCCCACACCUAACGGAAGCCGGCGUCGGGAUAAUGCGAGGUCGGUCGAGGCUCAGACUUUCUGAGCUCAGGUAAGUUUCCAAAGUGAGCCUCAAACUUGAGAGGGGAAGGGAGUUGGGGUGCGGAGGGAAGGCUGCGCGGCUCCUGCAGGCCCCGCUCCCGCACGCCCGUAGGAUCCCGACGGAGGGUCAGGGUACGAAGGCCGGACGAGCCGUCCCCCUUUCACUCGGCCGAGCAGCUGUGGCUCCGGUCUCUCUUGCAGCUUUAGGCAUGGGGACCGCAUUCCACCUUCGGAUUUGUAUCGGAUUUCCAUCGUUGCUUUGAUGUUACUGUUCCCUUCGUGGAUAGAGGACUGGGAGAAAUGGAGGAGGUGGGGAUGUGAGAUGCUGAGUGUCAGGCUCGUGGAGCGCCUAGGAUCGUGGCAGGCGGGCCUGACUCACCUCAGUGCUUGUUCAGAAGCGGGGUGCGGUGGGCCCGAGUCGGAAACCGCGGGGAGACAGGUGUGGUGAGCGCCUUCGUCCACCAGGGGCGCCUCGGCCAAGGCGGCGGGAGGAGCCCGGUCCCCGGGUUUGGCCCAGGAACGUGCCCGCCAUCCCGUGGUCUCCACCCCACGCCCGUCUCCAGGCGCACGGUCCGCUCGCCCUCAGCCACCACUCGGCGCCACCUGCAGCUCCUGGUGGGCCCCCAGCUCCCGGUCCGAGCAGGCUCCGCCUGCGGGAAGCGCGGCGCCGGACGCUUUCUCAGCCAAGGACGCCGGGACAGGCGCGAGCGGAAUCGAGGGCUAGCGGUUUGGUGACCCUCGCUUGGUUGUUCCGGAGCCUUUGAGGGAGAGGGCAGCACAGAGGAGACGGCGAGGGGCACCGGGCACCAGGGCUCCUCCAGCGCCCGAGACUAACCUGUGGCAGUGGUAAGCGUGUGAGGGCCGGGGUUUCCUGGCGAGGGGGUCGCUGGGGAGCAGAGGACACGGGUGAGACACGGCCUGACACCCCACAUCUGCCCGAGCAGCGAAGUCUCCACGAACUGGCGUCCACUCCCUACCCCACCCCGGUCCUGCUCCAGUGUCCGAAUGCCACCCCCCCCCCCCCCCGCUCUUUCCAUGCUCCUUCAUCUCAGGUGGGAAGUGAGAACAGUUGUUCAUUCCACCUAACUUAGGCCAGGGAGCGGGGCCCCAGGUCAGGGAGUCCAUUCUGCAGCCCGCUCCCCAGGCUUCCCCCAAGGGCCGGUUCGGUGCCUUCUCGCCUGGUCCUCCAUGUGGUCCGCCUCUCCCCGCCCGACAGGGGAGCCAGUGUCCACGCGGGCCCUGCUGGGGAGGGUGACUCCGGAUAAGCCUUCUCUAACUGGCAGAGAAAACAAGUCUUGGCCUUGAUAACCACAGGCUGCGCAUUAAAAGCAAACACGUUGUCCUCGUCCCUAACGACCGUCAGUGGUUCUGGGUCAUCCGUGGGGAAGAGAAAGGGAUUGGUUUCUCUUGGCAACAGAAGCCCCCCCCCCCCCAGGGGAAGGGGCCCCUCCUGGCCCAGAGUGCUGGGACUGUGCUGCUGCAGGACUCUCAGCGGGCAGACUGAGUCUCAGGGCACAGCAAAGGCAUCCUCUCCAGGCAGCAGUAGGCCCCUUGUGGGGAAACGCGGAUGGAACGGAGCCCUAAAUCCUGCGCUGUGGCUUUGGAGAAACAAGUUCUGAUUCUGUCUUUCACUUAAGUCACGUGGCCGGGGACACAUACCUCUCCUUCCUGAGGUUCCAGGGCCUCACGCGAGUCUGAGUUCGGAUGAGCUACAUUGCAGGGCCCAGGGGCACGUGUGGCUUGGGCAGCACACAUCUAGCCCCUUGUUCACCUAACAAGCAAGGAAGAAAUCCUGAGACUGCUCGCUCCUGUGUGUGGCUCACAAUCCCACCCUUCUUCCUGUGGAAGAGGACUUAGGGGCAGGACAAGCGCCAUGGGGCAGAAGCUCAGUGCCCCUUCUCUCCUUCCAAAGCUGGGGAGAGUGGCCUGGAUUUCCCAUCAGGGCACUGGUCUGGGUGGAAAGCUGUAGUUUGCAGCCCCAGAUGGGGGGUUUCCUCCAGGCCCCUGUGCCUCCCAGCAGAGCCUUCGGCUCCUGGAGGGCAUGCAAUGGCCCAGUGGUCAGUAGAGGCAGGAUCACAGGCAGCUUCCUGAGAGCCAGUAGCCCAGCCUGGGGUACACACAUGGGGGAUCAGCAACCCUCAUACGAGGGCUCUGAAACUUAAAGCCAGAGGAGGCAUUGGCUGGGCUCUUCACCUACUAGGCCCUUUAGUCAUCUGCUGAUGGAGCAACCACCCUCAGGAGAGAGAACUGUGGGGAUGACAGGACCUGCAGCCUAAAGGACGCCCUGCCAGCCCUCUGUUCUCAUUCCUUGGGCUUUAACAGGGCCAGGUGGGAAUUGGGGAUUAUGCCUGCGUGUGUGAGUGUGUGUGUGUGAGAGAGAGAGGAGACAGAACAGACCAUGCUAUCUCCCCACUCCUAAACCUGCCCUGUUCUGGAGUAGAGGGACAAGGAUCUCUCUUCCUUGAAAUUCUAAACAGCAGCUAGACUCUUUCAGCCCUGCAGUGACUGCAGAGUUCCGGGUUGGCUGAGGUUAUUCUCAAUGGGAUGAGAGACCUGGACAAAGCAGAGCAGUUACUGCUGGAAACAAAGAGCUCAAUCAGCAAAGUUAAAAGCAAAACGAAAACACUUCCAGGUUUGCGUCUGCAGUGUGAAGACCCCUGGACGAAGGGGCGAGGUCUGGGGCGUUGCCAGGUCCUCCUCCCACAGGCAUGGGAGGUGCUUGUACAUGAGGGGUAUGGGACUCCAUGACAUUUCCAGAUAGUUCUGGAAGACUCUGUGAGCUGUCUUCGUGCCCAGCGCUGCUGUGAAGGGAGCCCUUACAGAUGCCAACCCUGCUUCCUAGCUGUAAACCUAGACAAGUUUUUGAAAAAUAUCUGCUGGACAUAGAAAGUACCGGUCAUUCAUUUGUGCUCUUGCUGAUUUCUGUUUCCUCAAGAGGUUUCCCCCAAAUGUCAUUGACUUUCAGUGAAGGAAGAGCCCCUUGCCCUGCAACACACCGCCAGGCCCAGGGAGGUGGAGCCUGCUUCCUCCAACAGCACUGUCUGACAGCCCCUCCCUGGGCCCCAACAGCACUAGAAGCACAAGUCCAGGAUCCCUGCUGUGGAUUUUUUUUUAGUUUUUUUUUUUGAGUCAAGGAGGCAAAAAAGUAACACACAAUGAAGACAAAAGGAAGAAAUGCCUGAAAAGGGACAUAGUGAUGCUUGGACAGUGCUCACCAGGGCCUGGCAUCAGAAGGGCCCGGCGGUUAUUACUGGCACAGAUGAGUUUCACUUCAGUUUCUUGGGGUGACAGGGAGAGAAGCCGCUAGAGGUACAUGAAUAGAGAAGGCGACAGCCCGGCUGCUUCCUUACCUCUGCAUUUCUUCAGGCUCUCUGUGAUGGCAUCAUGCCUUGAUUUCCUUUCCUUGAGUUUCUUCUCCAGAUCUGGAGGAAUCAACUCUGAGUCAAGGAAUUGAAACCCUUGACUCUUACAAAGACACAGCUGAGCUGGGGCUGAGGGGAAGGGAGGACAUGGAUGUGGACAGUGACAUGGAAAGGGGGGCGCGUGUGUGGGUGAACUGGGAAUGAGAGGCCAGAGCUAGGGAAAUGGGGCCAGGGAAGAGGAGACAUGGAAGUGAAAGUUAGAACAGCUGGAGAGAUGGAGGAAAGAGAGAGCAGGUGUCAGACCCCCCCCCCAGGUGGAAGAGAAAACUUGCCAGACAAUGCAGUUACACAUCCUGCAAGAUGCAAAGGAUAACAGGAAGCUAAGUUGGGUUCGAGAAAAGCAGCUUGACCCAUGCAGCAACAUCUGCGGGCCUAGAUACCCCUGGAGACCACCAGACGCCCUCCACCCUAGAUCAAAAGACUUCCUCCACUCCAGGACAAAAAUUUCCACUCCUCCUGGCAGCACCCCUCCCCUACCCAAAGUCCCCUAUAAAAAAGUUUCCCCUCACCCAAGCCCCCAGGGUCAAUGGCUUUGUCACCCUUGACUAGCCUGCACCCAAGCUGGAAAUAAAACCUAGCUUGUUGCUUCAUUUUUGCCUGCUCUGGUGGUCUCGGGCAUGCCUCAGUUUACCCUAACAGCAGGGGAGAAGGGAGAUGGAGUAGGGAACUUGGAACCACCCAGUGAAGCAAGGGGACACACAGGAGGCGCCAGGAAAUUGAAGACUGCUGAAGAACCAGGAAGCUAGAGAAACAGCUGUUUUCUUCACCAAGUGGCCCACAUGCUAAGGUUUUUGGCUCAGGCCUUCUGCACCCACAGCCUGGUUAGUGGAUUGCGGAGUCAGAAUGUGCAGAGCAUUUGGGGGAAUGCGAAGUGUGCUGCAGCCACAAACGAAUAGGUAGGCAUAGUGUGGGACAGCCUGUCAUAACUGCACAGUAUAACCUAAUGUCCUAGAAGAGAAAGAGAUGGCACAGCCUCAGGGCUUGGCUGCAUCACAGACCCCUGGCUGGGGGUCUCCACUUCCCCACCUCGCCUCCCACCCACCCUGGAGGGGAGCUCCAGAAGCGCCCGACACCAGGUGGACAGUGAAUGGAUUAGACCGGCAGAGAAUCCAAGCAAAGAGGAGGAGAGGAAAAUAAGAUUCGGAAGAUGACAUUCAUUUCACUGAACCUGGGGAGCCUUGCAAGCAGAAUGUAUGGAAGGCUGGAGAGGCUUUACAGGGUGUUUCUUAAAAGAAAGACUCUUGACCUGGUGGGGCUGGGAUGCGUGCAGGGGAGACCAGCUCAGCUUGCUUUGUGCACCACCACACCUGUACUGUCCAAUGUGGUGGCACCAAACAUGGUACCGACACCUCAAACAUGGCUGGAGCAACGAGGAACCACGUCUUAAAGUGAGUUUUCUCUAACUCAUAAAUUAAGAACUAGCAGGUCAUGGUGGUGCAUGCCUGUAAUCCCAGCACUCGGGAGGCUGAGGCAGGAAGAUCAUUGAAAGUUUGGGGCCAGCCUGGGAUACGUAGUGAGACCCUGUCUCAAAAACAAAAAACAAACAAACUCAUAACAGAAUAUAUCACUAAUAUUUAAAAACACUUACUGAGAUAGCCCGUAGUUCAGUCUCCUGAGUGCUGGGAUUGCAAGCGUGUGCCACUACUCCCAGCAAUAUUUUAAAAAUAGUGGGUACAGGGUGAAAUUGAUGACCUUUGGAUAUAUUGAGUUACAUAAAAUAGUUUACUAAAAUUAUUUCACCACUUCCUUUCUAUCUUUUUAUUGUGGCUACCAGAAAAAAAUUUAAAUUACGUAUGUGGCUUGCAGUGUAUUUCUGAAUCACAUUAUUGUGGCUCACAUUAUAUUUUAAAUUAAACACAUGACCCAUUUCAUAUUUCUGAUUUAUACAUGUGGUCUACUUUGUAUUUCUUUCUUUUUUUCUUUUCUUUUUUUUUUUUUUUUGGUACCGGGGAUCAAACUAGGAACCUUGCACUUUCGAGGCAGGCGGCAGAACCACUGAGCUACAUCCCCGGCCCUGUACUUCAUAUUUAGGAUUUACACCGGCAGCCCACUUCUUAUUUCUGUUUCUGUUUUGGUUUGGGUUUUGGUACAG